UACAACAUAUAGGCAAUUUCAUAUUUGAUUAAAGUUGAAGAGUCACCACCUAAUUAUUCUAACGGUGAAUUAGAACACCUAUUUUAGGAAUAUUCACUCUGUAUAUGGUCUACUAAACUUUAGAGAUUCCAAAGUAAGGGUUCAACUAAUCUAAAGAGAAGGUUUUCAAGGCACUCCUUUAAAAUCCGUUUAAAAUAAUUAACCGACCAGACUAAAAUUAAUUAAAACUGAGAGUAAGAAUAAUAAUUAAGGAGACUAAUAAAAGGGGUUGUACGUUUGGCUAAAUAAGUUGUCAUGAAAAGUGAUAAUUUUCGAAAGCAAGAUUUGAAGAAAUUCGAACAACUAUGUUGCUUUUAGGAAGGAAGUUAGUUGAGACUAAAAUGUCUUAUUUUAUGUGAUAAAACAAGUACUUCUAUAAUGAGAUAGAGGAAAGACCCUAAGUGAUUAAGUAAAACUUUACUAAUAAUCCUAUUCUGAGUGUGAAUUUCAACGUAGAAAUCAUAGAAGAGUUAAAUAGAAUAAAUGAUAAAUAAAAUA
rnacentral:lncRNA from 1 species